AACUUUAUUUAAAGGUGGGAAUCAAUAGAUUGUCUCCAGUACUAAAAACAGUUAAUCAUUAAUCAGAUGAUCUUUAUUAUCAACCAAAACUGCUUGUGUUUUCUUUUCAGAAGCUUCUUAACAGUGUGAUUAUAAAUGUUUGUGUCAAUGGAUAAUGAAAUCGAUUUGUGUGUUCCUUGUCACAUGGUAGACAGUAAAGCCUGUGUUGGGGUGAAUGUUUCAGCAGUGGGUGAGUGCUGGUACAGUGUCGAUGGGCUGUGUUUCCUUGCUUACCAAGUCCCGGAGCUUGGCCAACUCGGAUGAUGGGGGAGGAGGAAAGGUUCGGUUUUGAAACCCCCGGGUUUAUUUCUGGCUGUUGAGAUGUGAGACUGUGGGAGAAGGCAUAAAUGUAGCGUGAGGGAGGUUGCAGACUCGGAGCUUCUCGCCAGGGGUCAGCGCUGGAUGAAUUUGUUUCUGAGUGGAUUUGUUUAUAGCUGCUUCACGCUCUUACCUCUCCAAGUUGGUGCUUCCAAGGGGCAACACUCAGUGUCUGAAUCUCGUUUAGUGGGUAUCUCAGAAGUAUCCCCCAGUGCACCAACCACGGGAGUUCUGUUCCUUUUCUUUCUGAAUUCCUGACCUGCUGUGAGAGCUGAUUUUUUUAAAAAAUAAUGUUCACCAAUGGGGCUGGCCUGGUGGUGUAGUGGUUAAGUUCUGGCGCUCCGCUUUGGCGGCCCCAGGUUUGCAGGUUCGGAUCCCGGGCCCGGACGUAUGCGCCGCUUAUCAAGCUGUGCUGUGGCAGGUGUCCCACAUAUAAAAUAGAGGCAGAUGGGGCACAGGUGUUAGCUCAGGGCCAAUCUUCCUCAGCUAAAAGAGGAGGACUGGCAAGAGAUGUUACCUCAGGGCUAACCUUGCUCACCAAAAAAUGAAAAGAUAUAAUGAACACCAAGUGUCUUGAGAAAAGAUAAUUAUGUAAAUACUAGAAGCAUACAGCGUUUGGGACUGGAGUUGCGGGAUGUGGGGUUUGUGGCUCUGUCUGUGCAUCACCAUCUCCAGUGCAUCGAGAGAGAGCAAAGGCAGCAGCUGCGGAGCCCUCUGAGUCUUGCUUCUUUAUGGUUGGUCACAGAUUUCCCCUGUGCAGGUUCUGAAUCCCUUUCCCUUGCAUCCACCCAUGUUCAGGAAGUCUCACAUCCAGCCACUGCCCUGGGUCAACCUCCAGCCCUGCACACAGGUGCUCUCUGCUGUUAGCAACUUGGGGACACUGCCCAGCCAGCCUCACCACGGCUCUCCUCACCCCGGGGCACUUGCCUGCCUUCACCAGUGGCACUGGCCUCGCGCCCAGCUCUGGCCCUGCCUCCUUGGCCCUGUUGCUUGCUCCCCAGACUGUGAAUCAUCCUGGUCUUGGAGCAUUUUACCCACCUGUAUGGCUAGCACGUGUUGCUUCCAUUUGCCAGGGAGCAUUAGAGAUACAGUCUCAAGAAAAACUGCCCAGAGGAGGUGACUUCUUCAGGAGAAGUUUAGACGAUAAGUUCCUUAAGGAGGAACCACGUUUUAUUACUGAGUACAAUGCUGUGUACUAGUGGGACUUCUGGGUUCUGAAGUCAGUUCAUAAUCUAGCCAAGUGACUUGCCUGGUGUGUUACCCUGGCCAAGCUACUUGACCUCUGUGCACAGUUUCCAUCUGAAAAAUGGGAAUAAUAAUAGUAUCUACCUCGUUAGGGUUAUUGUGAGGAAUAACUGAGCUGACUGAUGCAUGUAAAUCACUUGAUCAAUGGCUUAUACAUAGAAAGCAUGUAGUAAGUGUCGGCUGUCACUGUGUCCUUGUGUCUCAGCGUUGAACACUAUGGUUUAUACAUAAUAGGUGCUCAUUAAAUGUUUUGUUGAGUAAGUGUCAUGUUCAGAGGUGGAAAAAUGAUUUCUUCAUCUCUUACCAUAAAAUGAAAAUAAUAUUUGUUUGCAGUAAAGCGUUGUAAGGCAUGAAGACAUUUACUCUUUGGUUGGGGGCUGGGUAGUAGGAUAUUCCAAAUUCAGUAUCAAUAAUCAUGUGCCUAUGAUUUAUUAAUUAGACGUAACAUACCCAGCCAGUCAGAAGUUUAAUGUUUACUGGCUCCCCAGGUGAUUUUGAAAGGGAAAAACAGCUUAAUCAGGUGAUUUAUUUCCAGUAAGCAUUGUUAUUGGAACAUUUCAAACUCUAACUUAUUUGAUGGCUAUGUUAACGAGGCUCUGCCCUUUCUUUAUGGGUCACUCUGCGUUCUAACCUCUGUUUGCUUUUAAGGUGGGAGAUAGGUAGAAAAGUGCUCUUAAAUUGACUAGGUUCUUGCUUCUUUGUAGCCCACUCAGUGCCUAGCAUGGGGCCGUGCAAGUAGUAGUUGCUCAAUAAAUAAUGUUUUAAGUUAAUGACUAAAUCAGUAGGACAUUUUUCUUCAUAUUACGUCACACGAGUGGCUGAAAGGUACUUGUGAGGAGGUUUUGUUUCUGAUUUUCCCCCAGGCAGGUGAAUAUGCUAAGAAUGAUUGUUUUCUCUUGCUGUUGGGGUAUUGAAUUUGAGGGCUGCUCUCAGAGUAACUGCUCAUCUACUAUAAGAGGAACAAAUGGUCCCCAAAUGGUCCAGAUGAGAUGGUGGGAGAAGGGGCGCCGCCGCUCGUCUUUGAUGAGGUGUCUGGGCCGUCCGUACUGAGGAUGAAGAUCACAGCUCUGACAGAAGGGAGGGACUGUGAUCCUAAGGACUCGAGUUUUUCACCCAGGACCUGGAGAUUACAGUUUGGAAAAGUUGGUUUUUAAAAAGUGAUCAUGUCCGCAAAGGUGACAAGAACAUGAACCUGAAGUCCUUUGUCAGUGUGUCUCAGUGUAUUCCAGAAUAUUUUUUUUGACAAUUAAAUCCUCCCCUGGUACCCAACUUUAAAAAAAUAAAUCUAUUUCAAUCAAACAAGUGCAGUAUGGUUCUUGUGUGGCAAGAUUAUUUCAUAGGUGGUUUGAAGGAUUCAUCGUUUCAUAAAAAGAAUAGAGGAGUAUACGAUUGCCUUCUUCCAUCUUGCUCACGUCUCUCUCACCCAAAUUGAAGCGGCCCAUUUAAAACCUGAUCUUCAUAAAAGGAAGAGCUGUUGCAGAGCACGCUUUAUGGGCCAUCUGACUGCUUUUGCUGUAGUUCCGCACCGUGCUUGUGUGCAGGAAUCAGUCGACAACGGAGCAGUCUGCUGACGGCACAGGGAGAACGGCACGUGGCGGUAAUGUGCAGAUUUUACUGAACAGA